rnacentral:rRNA from 1 species
UAGCAAGAUUAAAACUUAUUUAAAAUUUCUCGAAACCUAAGGAGCUAUUUUAUAUUUAUUUUUUAGAAUUUAAAAAUUUAGGUGUGGCAUAACCUCAUUAAAAAUAUAAAAUAGAAGUAAGAUUCUUUUCGUAUUAGGUGAUAGCUAGUUUUAAUGGAAAUACAUAUAAGUGUAGAAAUUAAGAAGAUAUGUGUAUAUAUUACAGAUAUACACAUAUAUUAAUUUUUGAAUUAUAUAAGGAUAAGCUUGUAUAAUAAAAUACUAUAAAAAAUUAUAAUAUUUAAAUAAAUCUAAAUUUGAAAUUGGUUAGGAUAGUAAGUUUGUUAUAAAAGAUUAUAAGAUUUUUUAAAAUCCUAAUUUGUUAUAUUACCUUUAUUAAACUACAUAACUUAUUGUUUUUAAAUUUAUGCUAAAAUGAGUAUUAUAUAAAUUUAAAUUUAGUUAAAAAUAAAUAAACUAGAUAUUUACAAAUUUUGUUUUUGAAAAGUGUAUAAGGGAACUCGGCAAAUUAAGCCUCGCCUGUCUAGCAAAAACAUGCCUCUUUG